rnacentral:lncRNA from 1 species
GGGAUCGAACUUGGAAAAAGAGACUUAAGUUUGGAAGAAGGCACGAGAUUAAACCGGCGCUCCUUCCCUCUUGUUUUGAGGAUGCAAACCCUAACCCUAGCAUAUUUUCUCCAGCCGCCACCAUCAUGGAGCCUUCUCAGCUGCCGCCAACAAUGUCGACUCUGACCGCCACCCUACCUCCUGCUACCUUUCCGUUGAACGCCUCCACGAUAGCCCAUGCUGUCGGACAUCACGGGCAACCGAAAGAGCCACCGAGGCCGGUGUUUGAAGCUGUGUUCGUCGUUGUGUAGGUCGUGAUCGGCCAGAAAGCUCUCGAUAAGGCUAAUCGACACCCGCCUUUCCACUCCUUUCCUCUCUAUUUUUUCGACGUCGGGUACGUCGUUGCUGCCGCCGGUGGCCUUUAGCCACUGUUCUCGUCAUUUUCGGCAACGUCAGCCGCCUAGGAGGUGGUCGAGUGUAUGUGUGUUCGAGUGUAUAUGUUGUUUUCUAUGUUCGUGUGGUUGUAUGUGCACUAUUUAGCCGGAAAACCCACCGCCACCACCGUAAGAUGGUGGCUGCCACCGUUUUGCCGCCACUAGCCACCAUCUCUGGUGGUUGUGUGUUUAUGUACAUGAUUGGUUUGGUGUUUGGAGUGCUUUUGUCAUUGUUUUGUCUUAGAAUCAUAACCACCACCACCAUGAGGUGGUGGCUGCCGCCGUGAACCACCGUCGACCACCACUGCCCGAGGUGGCAGUGGGUGGUGUCUGGCCUAGUGAAACCCUAAUCAGUCUAAAACUUAAUUAUUGGACUAAUUGGCAUGUGUUUCGGUUGGAAACCCUAAUUAGGGUUUAGAAAACCCUAAUCUUGGAGACUUUUGUUUGGGACUUGUCGGGACACACGUUUUGGACCGUUGGAUUGGAAUUAUUAAUUAUGCUCGACCCCAUUGUAUGAUUGACCUAGUAGAGUGAUGGUCUUAAUGGAUUAAGUCCUUAUGGGUUAAGUGUUUUUCCUUAACCCUAAUCGUCAUUUUAUGUGAAAAACCUUAAUCUUUUUGGGCUAUGAGUUGGGCUUAGAUGUUUGGGUCCUUGUUGGGCCAUCUAAGGACUAGGAUAUUUAGAUGGGCUUUAGGUUAAGGCCCAUGUAAAGGGUUUGGGCCCAAUUUGGAAAAUUAAGCCAUAAUUGGGCCUUGGUUGACCUUUUUGGCUUUUGGGUCUCCAGAGUGUAAGUUUGGGCCUUGGUUUUGGACCAAGAUAGGUUAGGGGUAAAAUAGUUUUUUUACCCCAAGUAUGGAUUUAUGGUUAUGUAUUGGAACCCAAUUGUUAAUUGGGUAUUAUUUGGAUGAUUAACAGUUCGACAAUCUGUCGGCCAACAGCUAGGGAUCGUCUGUGUGAGGUGAGUUUACUUACCAUGUUUAGCGGGUCGAAGGCACCAUGGUCGGCCCAUGUUUAUAUUAUGUUGUUAGUAUGCUAUUUGUCUUUGUGACUCUUGCAUGUGCUUGUGUUUAAAUGUCUUCCGCGCUAAGGCCCGAUGUCGGGCGGGACCUGAUGGAUAUUUGUAUGUUAUGUAUCUCUAUGAUUAUUGCAUGUGUAUGUGUUUAUUUGAUAUAUGUUAUUAUACGUUGGGCGGGACCCAUUUUACCGAGCUCAGCUCGAUGUCGGUCGUGGCCCAAUGUCGCAGCCCGAUGCCGGACGGAGCCCGAUGAUGGGCGGGGCCCACUAUAUGUUUAUUGUAUGUUUGGUAUGUGGUAUGUUGGGGAACGCACUAAGCUUCGGGCUUAUGGUUUUCAGUUUAUGUUUCAGGUACUUCAGUUUUCAAUGGAAGAGCUCAGGUUGACUACAUUGCACACACACUUUAUAUUUCGC